rnacentral:rRNA from 1 species
UACGGGGGGGGCAAGCGUUGUUCGGAAUUACUGGGCGUAAAGGGUUCGUAGGCGGCUAACUAAGUCGGAUGUGAAAUCCCCAGGCUUAACCUGGGAAUUGCAUCCGAUACUGGAUGGCUUGAAUCCGGGAGAGGGAUGCGGAAUUCCAGGUGUAGCGGUGAAAUGCGUAGAUAUCUGGAGGAACACCGGUGGCGAAGGCGGCAUCCUGGACCGGCAUUGACGCUGAGGAGCGAAAGCCAGGGGAGCAAACGGG